GGGAAAUGGAAAUGAAAGGAAAAAGCAAAAGGGAAAGUGGUGGUGGCUUCUGUUGAGGACAAACUAGAGAUUCUUGCAUCUCGAAAAGUUAAACUGGAGGCAGAUUUACUUCUUGACGAAGCUGCUGAAAAGUCAUACGAUCUAAUUGUUUUGCCUGGAGGGCUUGGUGGCGCGGAAGCAUUUGCAAAAUCUGAAAAACUGAUUAAUUUGCUAAAAAAGCAGGGAGAAUCAAACAAACCCUAUGGAGCAAUAUGUGCAUCCCCGGCUUUGGUCUUAGAACCCCACGGCUUGCUGAAGAAUAAGAAAGCCACUGCUUUUCCUGCAUUAUGUGACAAAUUGUCCGACAAAAGCGAAAUUGAAAACAGAGUGGUGGUUGACGGAAACCUGAUUACAAGCCGAGGACCUGGAACUACGAUGGAAUUUUCUCUGGCAAUCGUGGAGAAGCUUUUUGGAAGGGAUACAGCAGUUCAACUGGGAAAAACAAUGGUUUUCAUUCAGGAUUAAAGGUUAAUCGAGCAUAAUCACUGUGCGUGUUCCAUCUUCUUAACUACCAUGGAUGAGUGGAAUGACUUGUAUUAACUGAAGACUGGAUUCUCAUUUGAAUGUGUGAAUCCACUUCUAAAUUUUGUAUAUAUGUUUGUGGA
rnacentral:misc_RNA from 1 species